rnacentral:rRNA from 1 species
CCUUCGGGGGGCAGCAGUGGGGAAUAUUGCACAAUGGGGGAAACCCUGAUGCAGCGACGCCGCGUGAGCGAUGCAGUAUUUCGGUAUGUAAAGCUCUAUCAGCAGGGAAGAAAAUGACGGUACCUGACUAAGAAGCCCCGGCUAACUACGUGCCAACAGCCGCGGUAAUACGUAGGGGGCAAGCGUUAUCCGGAUUUACUGGGUGUAAAGGGAGCGUAGACGGCGAUGCAAGCCAGAUGUGAAAGCCCGGGGCUCAACCCCGGGACUGCAUUUGGAACUGUAUAGCGGGAGUGUCGGAGAGGCAGGCGGAAUUCCGAGUGUAGCGGUGAAAUGCGUAGAUAGUAGGAGGAACACCAGUGGCGAAGGCGGCCUGCUGGACGAUGACUGACGUUGAGGCUCGAAAGCGUGGGGAGCAAACAGGAUUAGAUACCCUAGUAGUC